rnacentral:rRNA from 1 species
AUUGAACGCUGGCGGCAGGCCUAACACAUGCAAGUCGAGCGAGCGGCGGACGGGUGAGUAAUGCCUGGGAAUUGCCCAGUAGAGGGGGAUGAAAGUUGGAAACGACUGCUAAAACCGCAUACGAUUGGAUUGGCAAGAUGGGGUUAGCUGGUUGGUGAGGUAAUUGCGCACCAAGGCGACGAUCCCUAGAUGGUCUGAGAGGCUGAUCAGCCACACUGGAACUGAGACACGGUCCAGACUCCUACGGGAGUCAGCAGUGGGGAAUAGUGCACAAUGGGGGAAACCCUGAUCCAGCCAUGCCGCGUGUGUGAAGAAGGCCUUCGGGUUGUAAAGCACUUUCAGCUGGGAGUCGUUACUCGCAGAAGAAGCACCGGCUAACUCCGUGCCAGCAGCCGCGGUAAUAC